ACGCACGCUGGCGGCGUGCUUAACACAUGCCAGUCGCACGGAAAGGCCCUGCUUUUGUGGGGUGCUCGAGUGGCGAACGGGUGAGUAACACGUGAGUAACCUGCCCUUGACUUUGGGAUAACUUCAGGAAACUGGGGCUAAUACCGGAUAGGAGCUCCUGCUGCAUGGUGGGGGUUGGAAAGUUUCGGCGGUUGGGGAUGGACUCGCGGCUUAUCAGCUUGUUGGUGGGGUAGUGGCUUACCAAGGCUUUGACGGGUAGCCGGCCUGAGAGGGUGACCGGCCACAUUGGGACUGAGAUACGGCCCAGACUCCUACGGGAGGCAGCAGUGGGGAAUAUUGCACAAUGGGCGGAAGCCUGAUGCAGCAACGCCGCGUGCGGGAUGACGGCCUUCGGGUUGUAAACCGCUUUCGCCUGUGACGAAGCGUGGGUGACGGUAAUGGGUAAAGAAGCACCGGCUAACUACGUG
rnacentral:rRNA from 1 species